rnacentral:rRNA from 1 species
UACGUAGGGUGCGAGCGUUGUCCGGAAUUAUUGGGCGUAAAGAGCUUGUAGGCGGUUUGUCGCGUCUGCUGUGAAAAUCCGGGGCUCAACCCCGGACUUGCAGUGGGUACGGGCAGACUAGAGUGUGGUAGGGGAGACUGGAAUUCCUGGUGUAGCGGUGAAAUGCGUAGAGAUCCGGAGGAACACCAAAGGCGAAGGCAGUGUCCUGGGGAGUACCUGACGCUCAGGUGCGAAAGCCAGGGGAGCGAACGGG